rnacentral:rRNA from 1 species
GACGAACGCUGGCGGCGUGCUUAACACAUGCAAGUCGAACGGAAAGGCCCCUUUGGGGGUACUCGAGUGGAGAACGGGUGUGUAACACGUGAGUAACCUGCCCUUGACUUCGGGAUAACUUCAGGAAACUGGGGCUAAUACCGGAUAGCAAUCCUUGCUGCAUGGUGGGGGUUGGAAAGCUUCGGCGGUUUUGGAUGGAAUCGGGGCUUAUUAGCUUGUUGGUGGUGUAGCUGCUUACCAAGGCUGUGGCGGGUAGCCGGCCUGAGAGGGCGAUCGGCCACAUUGAGACUGAGAUACGGCCCAGACUCCUACGGGAGGCAGCAGUGGGGAAGACUGCACAAUGGGCGGAAGCCUGAUGCAGCAACGCCGCGUGCGGGAUGACGGCCGUCGGGUUGCAAACCGCAUUCAGCAGGGGCGAAGCGUGUGGUGACGGUACCUGCAGAAGAAGCACCGGCUAACUACGUG